AGCAGUUUUCCAGAUUGCGCUAUCACUUGCUGUUGAUGCUCGAGUUCAUCUUUGGUACCCGUCACCUUGUCCGAAGACGUUACUGUAAUUCGACGUCAAAUGGGGGAUAUGGUGAUAUUUUCGAAGCGUCCCUCUUUUACCGACUCACAAUAUGAAAGCACGGGCACUUGUGUGCAUCGGAGUACAGAAAGCAGAGACCGGAUGACUGCUGACUGUUUAUUAGUCUUGGGCUUUAAAGUCUGCACGUCUGUCAGCCGAGGGAUGUAAUAUUAGUGUACAGUGUACGACUCUGCUCUUGCUUACGCGCUCCGUCUCUCUUCCUUUUUCCUUGCACUCUAUUCUUUUACCUUUUUCCCGAAUUUCCCGAUCGGAAAGUUGACUGAACAUUUCCCGUCAUUUGUACUUAACUUGCAAUCUUAGUGUAGAAAUAAGGAUAUCUUAACGAUUUCAAUAUUUACAAGUCCGGUAUUACAUUUUUAAUGUUUAUUGAAACUACUUGUAAAUACUGAAUAAAUCGUAGAUACAAGCACCGUUGUGAAUAA